rnacentral:rRNA from 1 species
GUAAGCCGCAAGGCGUCUGUGAAGGUGGUGCAUGGUUGUCGUCAGCUCGUGUCGUGAGAUGUUGGGUUAAGUCCCGCAACGAGCGCAACCCUUAAGUUUAGUUGCCAUCAUUAAGUUGGACACUCUAGACUGACUGCCGGUGACAAACCGGAGGAAGGUGGGGACGACGUCAAAUCAUCAUGCCCCUUAUGAUUUGGGCUACACACGUGCUACAAUGGACAGGUUACAAAGGGC